ensembl:lncRNA
AUGAGGUUCUCAGAGACCUGCACGGACAAGGUGUGGUAGUGUAUAUUGACGACAUUUUGAUCUACUCCGCUACACGUACUGCGCAUGUGUCUCUGGUGCGCAAGGUUCUUGGACGACUGCUGGAGCAUGACCUGUAUGUGAAGGCGGAGAAUUGUGAGUUUUCCAAACGAGCCGUUUCCUUCCUGGGUUAUCGCAUUUCCAGCUCGGGGGUGGUAAAUGGAGGGUGACCGCGGCAAGGCCGUGCGUAAUUGGCCGACUCCGACCACGGCCAGUGGUAGCUGGUCCCAUGCAGGAAGGUGAGGUUCUGGAGGUCCCUCCGUCCCCUCUGGACAUCGAGGGGUGCCCGGCGUACACGAUACAAGCUAUUCUGGACUCGAGACGCCGGGUGAGGGGCUUGCAGUACCUCGUUGACUGGGAGGGGUACGGUCCGGAGGAGAGGUGCUGGGUCCCGGUGGGGGAUAUUCUGGAUCCAUCUAUGUUGAGAGUUCCAUCGCCUCCAUCCGGAUCGCCCGGCGCCUCGCCCUCGUCGGGGGUGUACUGUCACGAAUAUUACCGAUGUCUAAUUGGUUUCACAUGUUUCUUGUUUGGUUAUUAGGGUGGGGUUAUAAAUUCGUUCAGCCCGCUUCUGUUUUUGCGGGCUUGUUCGUAUGUAUGUGUUCGAGUGGUUUUGUUUGCUUUUCGGGUUUCUCGCUGUCCUUUUAUUUUUUCACAUUUGUUCCUGUGAUUUAUUUCUGGACAUUAAAGCGUGUUUCCCGCA